AAUAUUGGACAAUGGGCGAAAGCCUGAUCCAGCCAUGCCGCGUGAGUGAUGAAGGCCCUAGGGUGGUAAAGCCCUUUCACCGGGGAAGAUAAUGACGGUACCCGGAGAAGAAGCCCCGGCUAACUUCGUGCCAGCAGCCGCUGUAAUACGAAGGGGGCUAGCGUGUUUCGGAAUUACUGGGCGUAAAGCGCACGUAGGCGGACUAUUAAGUCAGGGAUGAAAUCCCGGGGCUCAACCCCGGAACUGCCUUUGAUACUGGUAGUCUAGAGUUCGAGAGAGGUGAGUGGAAUUCCGAGUGUAGAGGUGAAAUUCGUAGAUAUUCGGAGGAACACCAGUGGCGAAGGCGGCUCACUGGCUCGAUACUGACGCUGAGGUGCGAAAGCGUGGGGAGCAAACAGG
rnacentral:rRNA from 1 species